rnacentral:rRNA from 1 species
UACAGAGGGUGCGAGCGUUAAUCGGAAUUACUGGGCGUAAAGGGCGCGUAGGUGGAUAUGUGUGUUGGAUGUGAAAGCCCCGGGCUUAACCUGGGAAUGGCAUACAAAACUGCAUAUCUAGAGUGGAGCAGAGGUGAGUGGAAUUUCCGGAGUAGCGGUGAAAUGCGUAGAUACCGGAAGGAACACCAGUGGCGAAGGCGACUCACUGGGCUCAAACUGACACUGAGGCGCGAAAGCGUGGGGAGCAAACAGG